rnacentral:rRNA from 1 species
GACGAACGCUGGCGGCGUGCUUAACACAUGCAAGUCGAACGGAAAGGCCCUGCUUGCAGGGUACUCGAGUGGCGAACGGGUGAGUAACACGUGGGUGAUCUGCCCUGCACUUCGGGAUAAGCCUGGGAAACUGGGUCUAAUACCGGCUAGGAGCCAUUUUUAGUGGGAUGGUUGAAAAGUUUUUUCGGUGUAGGAUGAGCCCGCGGCCUAUCAGCUUGUUGGUGGGGUAAUGGCCUACCAUGGCGGCGACGGGUAGCCGGCCUGAGAGGGUGGACGGCCACAUUGGGACUGAGAUACGGCCCAGACUCCUACGGGAGGCAGCAGUGGGGAAUAUUGCACAAUGGGCGCAAGCCUGAUGCAGCGACGCCGCGUGGGGGAUGACGGCCUUCGGGUUGUAAACUCCUUUCGCUAGGGACGAAGCUUUUUGUGACGGUACCUAGAUAAGAAGCACCGGCUAACUACGUG